ACCGGACGCCAGCAGUGGGGACUUCCUUGGCGGGGGGCGCAAGGGGGAUUUCUCCACAAUGGGGGGAGGCCGAAACCCAUCCGGUCGUAGAGCGAAAUAAUCCCGUAAGGAAUAUAUAUUUUUUAUCCCGGGGAGGUAAGACGGUUCCCCCGGAAUAAACACCCGGUAAAUUCGUGCCCGCCGCCGCGGUAAUACGGAGGGGGCAAGCGUUAUUUUGAAUUUUUGGGGGUAAAAGGUGCGUAGGGGGUUCAUUAAGUCUGGUGUGAAAGCCCCGGGCUUAACCCCCGAAAGGCACUUGAAACUGGCUAGCUAGAGUGCCGUAGGGGGAGGGGGAAUUUCCCGUGUAGCGGUGAAAUGUGUAGAUAUUUGGAGGAACACCCGUGGCGAAAGCGGGCUUCUGGGCCGCGAUUGACACUGAGGGACGAAAGCUUGGGGGGCGAACACGAUUAGAUACCCCUGUAGUUCCCGCCCUAAACGAUGGGCACUACGGUGUUGCGGGUUCCUAGCCGUUCAGUGUCGCAGCUAACGCGUAAGUACUCC
rnacentral:rRNA from 1 species